UCAGUGUUCCAUAUUCUUUUAUUUUAAAAAUUCAGGAAUGUGAUACACAAUACAAUUAGCUCCCCACCACUGCAGUGCUCAUUCACGAGAGUCACUAGUUUCAUGUUUUGUGGGGGGAAAAAAAAAAGGGAGAAAAAGACUGUGCAGUGUUUUUGAAUGCUCCCAGUAUUCCGGAACUGUGAUCUUCAGAACAAAUCAAGUCUGUGUAACCACACAAAGAUCAGGUUAAAGAAAAAAAUCAAACUCUAUUGCAAGCUAACAGGCUACAGUCGGGCCUCACGCAGCUGGAACAAACACAAAACUUGUGUUUCUGCUGCUGUGCAGCCACCAACCGGACCUGGCUAUGUGCUUCCAGGGAAUUUACCAUCGAGGGCUAAAGAGACUAAAGGGCCCCGUUAACACCAGCUGGUGCUGCACAGGCAACGCGGCACAGGACAGAGGGGCCAUGCAAGUCCCCUUCUGCCCCCACCAUCACCAUCAUCACAUCUGCAUCCUGUCCUGAUAACAAAAAUAAUGGAGGGGUAGGAGGAGAGCUUUUUGUCUUUUAAGCUAGCCAUUGCCUGCAAUGGACACAGAAUAGAAAAAUAUGACUUCUGGCACCAAAAAAAGAUUAAAUAGUUACAAUGGAAGUAGCGACUACAACUCCAUCUAUUCAGAUGCAUUGACUGAGGCUGUUAACAAAUGGUGGCAACUCUCAAGACUCAAUAAUUGCUCUCUUCUUACAAGAGCAACAGGAGAGAAGGAAGUCAGGCUUCUCACUGCUACUAUGGUUUGUCUUGGUGCUUGGGGUUUUAACAAACUAAAGAGCAGUAGUUCUAGGGUGCACCAGUGAUAUCCAGCAGGGCCUCAAGAAUUCAUCCUAAUAACUGUGACCAAUAUUAAACUAGUGAGAAAAAUAAUUAGUGAAAGUUUACCAUAAAAAGCAAGGAUACACAUCUAAAAAAAAAAAAAUAGUACUUUGUUCAUUUCAAAAUUUACUUGGUUAAUACUUUGUAGCAUACUAGCAGUUGUAGCAUAUUCUGCAAACGUAGUCUUAUACGAGAUCUUAUUUAACAGUCAACU
rnacentral:lncRNA from 1 species